UAGUCGCUGUCCGAAAUGUGGUAUCUUGCGGUCCAUUCUCGGGGUGGGAGUGUCGUGUAGGGACUGUGUGGCCACAGAGAAGGUGCCGCGGAGUCAGGCCCCCGGUGGUGGUCACAGGGCUUCGGCGGACGGGAGCGGUUCUCACCUCAGGUCUGGGCUCUCCACAUGGGCUGGGCGUGACCAGGCGAAGACCCGGUGUCCGACCGUUCGGUCCGGACCGCGGGGGAGGACGCGCCCCUCAUGCUGGCGGCGCCCUCCUUCUCGCUGUCCACCAGGCCCGGCGGGGACGACUCUAGUUCCGUAGCCGACGAGGCAGCUCCGUCCGCAGGGCCUGCGUUUACCCCACAGAGCUUCCAGAGAAGGUCGCCCGCGGAGUAGAGUAGCCUUCCGGUGAAAGUCACGCUCUUGCGGGUCAGACACCCCGUCCGCCGUCCCCAGACUGCCCAUCUCCGGCCAACUUUGCGUCCUCCGGCAAGGUCCUGGGGGUCUCUGAGCCACGACUGGGAGCUUUGAGGGAGUGGAAGCCUGAGUAUCUCAACUUUCCUUCCAACUGUAACAUCCUUUGAGUCUGAUCACAUUAUCCUUGCUCUCACACCUUGUAACCUUAAUAACCAGGGUAAUUCUCCUUGUUUGGGAGAGUUAUGAUGCCGGGACCGAGGAAUCCCCAGAGGGCCCCCCGCCCCAAUCUGAGAACCCAGCCGGUGGGAAGGACAGCUGAGGGCUGGAACCAUCGAACCUCCGAAGCUUAGAGCGGGCUCCAGUCAGGCGCUGCUCUCCAAGGUGCUGCCACCUGGGGUGCCCGUCUGGCUCUCGGACCGCACGUACUUGGCAACACUUUGAAGACCAGUGGCUUGGGAGGGUGGGCAGUUUUUCCUUCCUAUUUUCGCCAUCCGCCCAUCCUCAUUCUUCAGUGUGGAUAACUGGCAUUUUCUUGGUGUAAAGUAAAUUGCUAUGCAAAAACAGCUUCACACUCCCCUACUUUCCAACCAGAUCACCAGCCCUUGACCCCUCCUGUCAAACUUCUGGAGCUGCCUCCCCAGAGGGGAAGCCAGUGACAGAGGGCCAGACUGCACGGGGCAUCAGGACAUGGCACAGGCAGGGUGGGGGUGUGGGGAGGAACAGGACGACUAUUUUCAUCACCUCAGUCUUACUGGGCUAACCUUGUGGUUUUCACUAGAGUUCACUCUGUAAUAUAUGUCUCUGGCUCUAGAAUUUCAAGUUCUACUUCAAUUUCUAUCUGGAGGUGGCUUCUCAGGGAAGUGAAGGAAGAGGUUUGAAGUUCAGAGCACAGCUGCAGGGUUUCUCUCUGAUCUGAACAAUGGCUGUAGCUGUGGACAAACAAAUCCACACUCAAGUACAGGAAGGACUUCGAAUAAUGAAGCUGGAAGAAGAUUCCCACAGGGAGCAGGAAAUUUUCCUCCUAGGGAAUGUCCCUGGACCAGAGAUCUCCUGCCAGUGCUUUCGGCAUUUCUGCUAUUGAGAAGCAGCAGGACUCCAGGAGUCCCUCAUCCAGCUCUGGAAGCUUGGUCAUCAGUGAUUGAGACCAGAGAGACAGACGAAAGAGCAGUUCCUAGAGUCGCUAGUCCUGGAACCAUUCCUGGCUGAUCUUCCCCAGGAGAUCCAGAUCUGGGUUAGACAGAAGCAUCCACAGAGUGGACAGCAGGCAGUGGCCCUGGUGGAAGAUUUGCAAGGAGAACCUGGAAGACAGCAGCAGCAGGUCAUGGUGAUGAUGUCACAACCAGACCAGAAGACCAAAUGAAUCACAGCCCUGAAGUAGAACUGGGAGCCUCCCACAAGAGCAAGUGGCACCUGCAAAGGGAAGAAGCACCUUGGUUGGCAGGUUUUGUAAAACUCCACAGCAAAGCCCGUGACACUGCUCCUUACAUGAGUGAGACAUCACUGGUCGCAGUAGGUAAGGUGUGGGUACCAAUUUUAGGCCUGGUUGGUAGGAAAGGCACAAGGUAGGGUUAAACUAUUGUGGACUAAUUCUCAA